AGAGUUUGAUCAUGGCUCAGAUUGAACGCUGGCGGCAUGCCUUACACAUGCAAGUCGAACGCGAAAGUAGGGGCAACCCUGCGAGUAGAGUGGCGAACGGGUGAGUAACACAUCGGAACGUACCCAGGAGUGGGGGACAACCUCGAGAAAUCGAGGCUAAUACCGCAUACGUCCUGAGGGAGAAAGCGGGGGAUUCGCAAGGACCUCGCGCUCAUGGAGCGGCCGAUGUCGGAUUAGCUAGUUGGCGGGGUAAAAGCCCACCAAGGCUACGAUCCGUAGCUGGUUUGAGAGAACGACCAGCCACACUGGGACUGAGACACGGCCCAGACUCCUACGGGAGGCAGCAGUGGGGAAUUUUGGACAAUGGGGGAAACCCUGAUCCAGCCAUGCCGCGUGAGUGAAGAAGGCCUUCGGGUUGUAAAGCUCUUUCGGCCGGAACGAAAUCGCGUACGUGAAUAACGUGCGUGGAUGACGGUACUGGAAGAAGAAGCACCGGCUAACUACGUGCCAGCAGCCGCGGUAAUACGUAGGGUGCGAGCGUUAAUCGGAAUUACUGGGCGUAAAGCGUGCGCAGGCGGUUCUGCAAGUCAGAUGUGAAAUCCCCGGGCUUAACCUGGGAACUGCGUUUGAAACUACGGAGCUAGAGUACGGCAGAGGGGGGUGGAAUUCCACGUGUAGCAGUGAAAUGCGUAGAUAAGUGGAGGAACACCGAUGG
rnacentral:rRNA from 1 species